UACGUAGGUGGCAAGCGAUACUCGGAAUCACUAGGCGUAAAGCGCAGGUAGGCGGUUGGAUAAGUCUGUUGUGAAAGCUCCCGGCUUAACUGGGAGAGGUCAACGGAAACUGUCUAGCUAGAGUGUGGUAGAGGUAGCUGGAAUUCCCGGUGUAGCGGUGAAAUGCGUAGAUAUCGGGAGGAAUACCUAUGGCGAAAGCAGGCUACUGGACCAUCACUGACGCUGAUCUGCGAAAGCUAGGGGAGCAAACAGG
rnacentral:rRNA from 1 species